rnacentral:rRNA from 1 species
UUGACCUCAAAUCAGGUAGGAGUACCCGCUGAACUUAAGCAUAUCAAUAAGCGGAAGAAA